GAUUAACGCUGGCGGCGUGCAUAACACAUGCAAGUCGAACGAUGAAACUUAAAUGAUUUCUUCGGAAUGAACUUAAGUGGAUUAGUGGCGGCCGGGUGAGUAACGCGUGAGUAACCUGCCUUACACAAGGGGAUAGCCGUUGGAAACGACGAAUAAUACCCUAUGAAACUAUCACUUCGCAUGAAGCGAUAGUCAAAGUGUUAGCGGUGUAAGAUGGACUUGCGUCUGAUUAGCUAGUUGGUGAGAAAAAAGCCCACCAAGGCAACGAUCAGUAGCCGGCUUGAGAGAGUGUACGGCCACAUUGGGACUGAGACACGGCCCAGACUCCUACGGGAGGCAGCAGUGGGGAAUUUUGCACAAUGGGGGAAACCCUGAUGCAGCGACGCCGCGUGAUUUAGAAGGCCUUCGGGUUGUAAAAAUCUUUUGUAUAGGAAGAAAAUGACAGUACUAUACGAAUAAGGUCCGGCUAAUUACGUG
rnacentral:rRNA from 1 species